UGAAAGAGAGGGUUUCAUCUGCAUAGUAUAGUUUACAAUGAGUUUAAAAGAUUGCAGGAGACAUUUUGUUCUUUCCUGAUUUUCUUUGCAUUGGUAUUUAAAUAUGAUUUUUUUUUCCUUGAAAAACCUUGAUACUAUAUACUUCCUGUGGUGGUCUUUCUAGAUGCUCAAGAGUCAGUUAAGGUGAGACAAGGAAAACUUGUUGGAGGUAAAAAACUUCCCCAAGUACCAAGUUCUGGGAGAGGAGCUAUCAAAAUAAAUUUAGUAUUUUCAACAAUAAUAACUCACAGAAUGGGACUGCAUUAUGUUGCCAGGCCACUGAUGCUGAAUGGCCAUUCUCAGAUGACUUUUUAGAAGAAAAAAAAAAAAAAAGAGGGCUGUCUUCAGCUGAUACAAUGACCUAAAUCUAAUCUAAUCUAAUUUGAAGAUAGAAGAUUCAAUCAAGAUUUUUGUCUU
rnacentral:lncRNA from 1 species